UACUUGAGUCGUAAAAGUGGAGGUCUGAGUGACCAAUACUAAAAACCAUGUUUCCCGAUGUGAGGUUCAAAGUGACCAAGGAGAUUUGAGUCCCCCUUAUUAUUAUUGCAUAAUUAUGGUGUUUCAAUUCCCCCAUACAUAAUUACAUGAUUGAGUGCUUAAGUCACCUUAGUAUAUAUUAGGAGGUUCGAGUCCCUCGUGCAUAUAUAUGGCAUUAUUCUUCGGUUCGUGUGGCUACAUGCUUUGGGGCCCGAACAGGGGGUGAGAUCUGGGUCCUAUAUAGCCCAUGGGUACAUGUUAUAACGGUUAACCUACAUAAUCCAGGAUAAAGUUUUAAAGUG
rnacentral:lncRNA from 1 species